GCAUAUUAAUUUUUCUUUAACUAGGUCAUUUUGUUCUUGAUAAAAAGAGGCUAGUACCAAUUUGUAUUACAGGAUAAAGAAAGGACGGAGGCAAGCCGGUUAACGAGAUUAAAAUGGUAGAGGUCGUCACCUAUUUUAUGUAGGUGAGGUGCCCACAUACUAUACAGAUUAGGAGAGAGGAGAGAGGGAAGGAGUGACCGUGUUGAAAAACGUUCUAGUGGUUUUAAAAGCCAUAAACAGACAUGCUCUGUAACUGCUGUGUUCUUGCCUCCUCUCCUCUUCCUAUAAACACCAAUACCUCUUCUUGGCUUCUUUUGUGUUUUGUUUUGAGUGUUAGCUAGCUAAUUGUUUGUUCUUUUGCUGGUUGGCUGGUUAAUCUUUUUAUGCUUCUAUCCUAGCUACUAUUUCUACCACUCCAGCUUUAGCGUGCUCUGGUAAAAGAUACUACGUCCACUACACACAGAGAGAGGGAAAGGGGAAAGAUAGUGAGUGCCAGAGAGAGCAGGGGAUUGGGCAAAAGGGUUUUUUUUUUCUUUUUAGAAGAGAGCGUUUCUUGUUUCUGUUCUUUUGAUUUGUUUUUUACUUCUUCUCCUGUGAAGUAUGAUUGGUUGCGAGGCUGAACUGAAGUGAAAGUCUGGUUUUGGGUGCUGCUUUGAAGGGACUGGUUCGGUUGGGCCUUCUUUUCAUAUUUUUGGAAGUUUCUUGUAAAGCUUCUUGUCUUCAAAUCAACACAAGUCUUUGCAUUGUUCAGCAACAAAAUCAAAUUUAUGUAGGCGUUAAUACCAAGGUAAAAAACUCUUUGUAUAGCCAAAUUAAGAUAAAAGAAACUGCAGCGAAGUGUGUGGGGGUUGGCAGCAAAGAAAGAAUUUAUUAUCAUUUAGCUAUAAAAUUCUUCCUCCUCACGAGAAACAAGCAAGAAAAACAUUCGCUCCAUAAGAACAACCUUCACAGUUUUCUUUUUCAUCUCUUCCUUUUCUCUCAUGGAGUACAAUCAAUCUUCAGAAAUGCAAGAACCCAGUAUAGACACUGACAAACUCAGCUACGAAAUCUUUUCAAUUCUUGAAAGCAAGUUUCUCUUCGGAUAUGAUGAUCAGAAACUCUGGAUUCCUAAACAGGUCUCUCCUGAAACAAUUGAAGCAAAACCCGAGUCACAGAAUCCCUCGGUUCUUACAGAAAACAACAGCAACGGGCUGUCUGCGAUCAAGAAUCAAAGAGGCAAAAUCUGCAUAUUGUCUAUUGAUGGUGGUAGCAGUCUAAAAGGGAUUAUUUCAGGGAAAGCAUUGGCUUAUCUUGAAAACGCGUUGAAAGUGAAAUCAGGCAAUCCUGACGCCAGGAUUGCUGAUUAUUUUGAUGUUGCAGCCGGAACUGGAAUUGGCGGAAUCUUCACGGCUAUGCUUUUCGGCACCAAAGAUCAUAGCCGUCCGAUUAUGAAAGCUGAAGAGACUUGGAAGUUCUUAGCUGAUCAGGGCAAGAAAUUUUACACUUACGGAAAUGGUGGGUUUUUCAAGCGGUUUUUCAGAGGUGGCGCAACCGGUUCAACAGCUGCUACAGCCGGUUUAGAGAAGGCCAUGAAGGAGACUUUUUGUGAUAAGGGCCGGAAUUUGACUUUGAAAGAUACUUUAAAGCCGGUUUUGAUUCCUUGCUAUGAUCUUUCCAGCACGGCGCCGUUUUUGUUUUCAAGAGCGGAUGCAUUGGAAACGGAUAGUUUUGAUUUCCGGCUUUGGGAGGUUUGUCGGGCUACAUCUGCAGAACCGGGUUUGUUUGACCCGGUUUUAAUGGGUUCCAUUGACGGUCAGACCAGGUGUUUGGCAGUUGAUGGUGGUUUAGCCAUGAGCAACCCGGCCGCAGCAGCUAUUACUCACGUGCUGCAUAACAAGCAGGAAUUUCCUUUUGUUAGAGGAGUUGAGGAUUUGUUGGUGUUGUCCUUAGGGACUGGUCAGAUUCUUGAGGUUAGUUAUGAAUAUGAGCAGGUUAAGAAUUGGAGGGCCAAGCAGUGGGCUCGACCGAUGGCUCGAAUCUCAGGUGAUGGUUCGGCUGAUUCAGUGGACCAGGCAGUGGCCAUGGCAUUUGGUCAGUGUAGGAGCAGUAACUAUGUAAGAAUUCAGGCAAAUGGGUCCAAUCUAGGAAGAUGUGGACCUAAUGUGGACACAGACCCUAGUCCUAACAAUGUAAAGAUGCUGAUUGGAAUAGCAGAGGAAAUGUUGAAGCAGAAAAAUGUAGAAUCUGUGCUGUUUGGUGGCAAGAGGAUCGGGGAGCAAAGCAAUUUUGAGAAACUUGAUUGGUUUGCUGAACAGCUUGUGUUAGAGCAUCAGAGGAGGAGCUGCAGAAUUGCUCCCACUGUUGCUUUCAAGCAAGCUGCCAUCAAAACAACCUAGACUAUUCUCAACAGUGUCAAGAACCAAAAUCAAACGAAAAAGGAAAGUUAGCAGAUGUAAGAACUACGCAAAUUGGUGAUGUGGGGAAGCCAUUCCCAAUUGUUGUCGGUCGACAGACACCAGUUCUUGUGAUGGAUUAGGGACACCCCAGUCAUUUUAUGGAACAACUUUAUUGUUCCAGCUUCUGGGUCUUUGAUGGGUGCCUAGAGGCGGAAAAUAUAUUCAAGGAACAAAAAGGAAAGGGAGAGGGAAAGGGGUAACAUAGCAGCAGCUUUUACUUUUGAAAGUCACGAAGACAGCAAGAGAAGAAGAGCAGGUGAGGGGAUUGAGAGAAAAAGGACAAGAAGAACAUAUAGAGAGAGGGUAGAAGAUCUUAGUGGGAUACUUUGCCUGCCAGGUGAUGGACAUGGUGGUGUCCACUCCACCUUUCUACCAUGGCAAGGUACCGAGAAAGAAGAGAAACAAAGAAGAGAAAGCAGGUAUCAGUAAAGCUUUUGAAGGUCAAACCAAGUAUCAGGUGUGAAUCUUUUAAUGUCAGUUAAGAUUUUUGGGUGGGAAGACUCUGUUUGUAUAUUUGCUUUAUUUUUUUUUUAAUUAUUUAUUUUCUCAAUCAGACUCAACUCUCAAGAAACUUGAGUGUGGGGUACAUGGUGGGCUACCUGCACUGAACCCCUGAUUAUAUAGCCGAGUCUCCCUUCUUCUGUUUUUUAUUACUACAAGCCAGAGUUCUUUACUGAGCUUUGGUCCCUUUUCACCUUUUUUUUUUCUUCUUUUUUUCAAAUAGAUUGUAGCGGUGAAGAAUAGAUUUGAGAGUGACCAGUGGUUCUCCCCAAACCAACCAAUCUAGGCCUGUACAUGGAGAAAUGUAAAAAAAGUUUAUAAUAUUUCAUGCGUGGAUGACAGAGUAGUAGUUUUUGCAAUUGUAAUUUUUAAAAAAAUUAUAAAUUAUAAUAUUUUCCAUUAAGAUUUUUUUUAAA